UCCCUGGUGGUCCAGUGGUUAGGACUCUGUGCUUUCACUGCCAAGGGCACAGGUUCAAUCCCUAGUCAGGGAA
rnacentral:tRNA from 1 species